rnacentral:rRNA from 1 species
CUUGGUCAUUUAGAGGAAGUAAAAGUCGUAACAAGGUUUCCUUCCGGUUAAGAGAUUUAACUACCGAAGCCUCACACAGCGACUCUAAAUCAACUGUGGAGUCUUACAUAGGUAAAGACAAUACCGCUGAAAUGCUGUGAUCACGAAAGUGUACCAGCAGCCUAAUCCAGGCCCACAGAUCAAGUGGCGGUGGUCUUAGCUACAGAGCUUUAGACUAUAAUAUGACCGGUUCUUAUCCUAACGGUUAAGAGCUUUAAUGUUCCGUAGGUGAACCUGCGGAAGGAUCAUUAAAGAGUGAGGGUCUUCUAGGCUCGAUCUCCAACCCUUUGUAUAAAUACCAUGUUGCUUUGGCGGGCCCGUCUUUAACCGGACCGCCGGAGGUUAAAGCCUCUGGCCAGCGCCCGUCAGUAGCCCACAACAAAUUCUUUUAACCAUGUAUCUUCUGAAAAUAGUUAAAUAAACUAAAACUUUCAACAACGGAUCUCUUGGUUCUGGCAUCGAUGAAGAACGCAGCGAAAUGCGAUAAGUAAUGCGAAUUGCAGAAUUCAGUGAGUCAUCGAAUCUUUGAACGCACAUUGCGCCCUUUAGUAUUCUGAAGGGCAUGCCUGUUCGAGCGUUAUUAUCACUAAUCAAGCCUGGCUUGCUGUUGGACCUCUUGUCGUUAAAGCGACAGGUCCUAAAGAUAAUGACGGUUGUUAAUUAGACCCCAGAUGCAACGAGCUUUCAUUAGCACGCAUGAUAGGUGGCCUUUUUAACCCGGUCUUUUUUAACCAAUUUUACAAGGUUGACCUCGGAUCAGGUAGGAAUACCCGCUGAACUUAAGCAUAUCAAUAAGCGGAGGA